AUACUGGAUUCCACCAAAAUAAAAAAACCACAGUAUCUGGAUCAUAUGACACGUGGUGACAGUAAUGAAUUCUUUAAAUUUAUAAUGCAGGAAAAGAUUCAAGGAAGGCGCAGCAUAGGUAGAAGAAAAAUAUCUUGGUGUGUAUGCAGCUCAACUGAACUCUUUUGAGCUGUAGUGUCAAAAGUUAGAAUAGCAGUGAUGAUUGCCAACCUUCAUCGCAGAUGAAGACAUAGUGAAGACAUAAAGAUGACAUACAGAAGAAGAGGAAGAAGAAAUUCCACAAAAAAGUCAAAUAAUUCCA
rnacentral:lncRNA from 1 species